CCUUUAACCGUUCUGCGGGAAUAUUGGUAUGUCUCUUUUUAAAGUUAUGAUGUCAUUUGGAGUGAAAGCCUGCCUCUAUUUGUGGUCAUUAGGGUUCUUCGAAGUUUUGAUCGCUUUAUGGUCCCUGGAGUUAUUUUCUUAUCCAGAAGUAGCUCCGACAUCGGACCUACUCCGGGCAGGAGCUCCCCCGGGGUCUGCGAAAGAAGCUGCGUACCCUCUGCGGCGAAGAGAGAUACAGCUCAACCCCUUGGACUGGUGAAAACAUCUGUGGUCAUCUUGGGCUAUUUCUCUUGUGCUGGGGAGUGUUUUUUUGUUGUGCCUUAAUAAACAAGUUUUUUCCA